AUAGAUUCUGUUUUUAAAUCAAUAAUUAAUUCGUUUUUUAAAAUAGAUAAUAAUCAGAAUUAAUGUAAUUAUGGGCCAUUAAUCACGUUUUGGGCGUUAGAAACUGGAAGCCUGAAAGGGUCUGACAUACACUGUUAAACAGAGAAGGGUGUUAUUGUAAAUUUAGUGGGGGACACGAAAAGUUAAUUUACUAAAAAGCCCUAAGGAGCUGGCUUAUAGAAUAGAGAUUCUUUGCCCAAAAAUGAAAAAACAGAGAGAGAAAUGAAGAAGAAAGAGAAAAAAAAAUGUGGAGUUUUAGGAGAAAUGGGAUGCGUGCUCUCCCCCAAAACCUUUGAAGCUGUUGGGUCACUUCAAAUUAUAACCUAAUACUUCAAAUUAAAAAGUAUGGUCUACUUGAGAGUUUAGGAGAAAUGGGAUGCCUGCUUCCGAUUUCUUCUACUCCCCCGAAACCUUCAUCCUCUCCGAUUCUCUCUCCUCUCACAUUUGAUCGCUGCAACUCUUACAAGGUUAAAAUUGAUCGCAAUUUGUUGAUUUGUUGAAGGUGAUUUUUUGAUUUUUUUUGGCAUUUGGGAGAUUUAUUUUGGGAUAUUUGAUGUGAAAUCUGUUGAGUUUUUGAUGUUUUAUUGAGUUUUUAGUGUCAAAAACAUGUUUUUUGUUUGUGGAGAAGAAGACGAAGAGCCCGAAUUGAAGGGUACCCGAAUUGAAGACCACAUAUUGAAAAGACGAAAAAAGAAGAGCCCCUUCCCCUUUUAUUAAUUCAUUUUUAUUUUUAUUUUAUUCAUUUAUUAAACGAGUACAUCUCAGCAUUUAGAUGUUUUUGUUGUUUUUGAGGGAAGAUAUAUUCUUUAUGUAACAUAUGAGGACAGCUGUUAGAUAUAUCUAUACUAUAUAUUAAAAGGCGUUUGUGAAAA